rnacentral:lncRNA from 1 species
CGGCUGGAGCCGAGCUUCCUGAUACCUAGUGAGCCGCGGUGAUGACAAAUGAAAACAAUAAGCUGUUUCCUAGACAAACAGCUGCCUAGUUUCGCUCUGUCGCCCAGGCUGGAGUGCAGUGGCACAAUCUCGGUUCACUGCAACCUCUGCCUCCCGGGUUCAAGCAGUUCUCUUGCCUCAGCCUCCCAAGUAACUGGUACUACAGAGAAUUGAUACAAAAAAUGAUCAUGUGAAGAAUUUGCAUCUUCUGCAGAACUACCGGUAUCAGUCAGCAGUAGGAGAUUGUAUAAAUUCAGCCUGAGAUUCCAGAAUAUUCUGUGUAUUGACCACCACAGCAAGAAGAAAAAGUCCAUGUAGGACUGAAAUCAUAUGCUGAGCCCUUUCCCAGUGUUGGGAGCAUAUCAAGAUAUUGACACAGUUCCUGUCCUUAAGGUCCUGCUCCCUGCCUGCCCAUCUUCGACCUCAGCCCUCCUCCUCCAAAGCAGUCCCUCAGAACCCCUCCUGGUUUCAGUCUGGAUCCCACCACAUGUUGAAUGGCACCCUCUCAAUCUGGGACAGCGUCCGUUGAUUUUCUCCUGUGAUAAAUGAGGAUUGGAAGAGUAUGAGGACCAUGGCUUAUUCUUAUUCACCAUUAUGUCCUUACAGUGCCUGGAGUAGGGAUGGCACAGAAGAACUAUUCAGCACAUGAAGCAGUGAAUGAAAAGACAAAAGGGCAAGAAAAGGAGAGAACAGUGGAGAAAAAAGAUUUUAAUUAAAUACAUGUGGGAAUUUAUCUCUGGCUAUUAUUUAUUCCACCAAGUACACGGAUGUAUGAAUUCAUUUAGCAAACCUUUCUUUUUUGCACAUUUGCUAUGUAUUAAGUGUUAGAUAUACAAAGAAAGAUAAGAAAGACACAAUCUUUUUUCUUAAGGGGUUCUAAAUCAAAUAGAAAAUAUAGAGUUGUAAAAUAAUAUUUAUAAUACAAUAAAUGUUGUGUCCUCAUAGUUCUCUGAAAGCAAAACAGUAGCUGAAAUAUAAACGAUGAUGUUUUCAUGGAAGAGGAGGAAGAAUGAGGCUCCUACUAUGUGUGACCUGGUGCAUACAUUAUCUCAGUUGAUCCUCAGAGCAAGCUUUUCAUGGUCUAUGUGGUCUGUCCUUUGUUUAUUCUACAGCUGAGGGAUCAGGCUCAGGGAGACUUGAGUUUUGCCCCAGAUCACACAGCCAGCAAGUGACAGAGACAUGAUUCCAUCCAAAUCUUCUGACUUUAAACCCUCCUGCUCUGUGAAUGUUGAGUACCUGACCCAGGUGACUUUUCUGGAGCUUAACCUUGCUCUGACAUAAGAUCAGAGGGAAGAAAACACACUGUUUGGUUUAAGAAGAUUGUCCUGACUCUAACACCCUUGGGGCCUUUAGGGGGAAAGCAAACUCCUGCUUGUUGGCCUCACAAGACAUUUAGCCUCAGCAGCUGGAUUCUGUUCUAAGGAGGCCUGGUUUUCUCAUC